GAAACUGGAGGUUUAGAGAAAGUACGGAAACAUAAGCACCGUGGCGGACAACAGUGGAUCCUGCGUCAUCCGGGAAAAAAAUGGAGGACAAGAGACGCACGAACAAGGGUUAUCCUACUUGUUUUCCUUGGAUUUUAUAAGCACAUUCCACUGAUACCACAGAGGCGGCGCUGUGCUCGUGCACUCAACACUUUCUUAGUUAACACCGCCAAGCAACAAGAAAUAAAUCGUCACUAUGACACGGGGCGAAGCAACUCUAUAGCUCCGGGACUCAAGUAAGGAGUGUUAGAUGGCGGCCGUCUGGAAGGUGGGCUUCGGUGCUGGAGAAAGUUUCCAUGUCCGAGGUUAUUCGCAACAUCAUCACCAUGAAAAUGUGAUGCGCUUAAUCGCACCACCGCAUGAGACAUUGAAGAAUCAACUAAACUGUCCCUUCUUAUUGCGAUCCUCAUUUGAGAUUAGUGUUGUCAGAGUCAACAGCGACAGAAAUCUGCUCACCUGAUGCUGCAUACAUGACAAACGGCGGGUCAAAUGGGCACGAACGAAGCGAAACCCAGAGGGCAGGUCAGCAACGAUCUG